rnacentral:rRNA from 1 species
GAUGAACGCUGGCGGCGUGCCUAAUACAUGCAAGUCGAGCGAACAGAUGAGGAGCUUGCUCCUCUGACGUUAGCGGCGGACGGGUGAGUAACUCGUGGAUAACCUACCUAUAAGACUGGGAUAACUUCGGGAAACCGGAGCUAAUACCGGAUAAUAUAUUGAACCGCAUGGUUCAAUAGUGAAAGACGGUUUUGCUGUCACUUAUAGAUGGAUCCGCGCCGCAUUAGCUAGUUGGUAAGGUAACGGCUUACCAAGGCAACGAUGCGUAGCCGACCUGAGAGGGUGAUCGGCCACACUGGAACUGAGACACGGUCCAGACUCCUACGGGAGGCAGCAGUAGGGAAUCUUCCGCAAAGGGCGAAAGCCUGACGGAGCAACGCCGCGUGAGUGAUGAAGGUCUUCGGAUCGUAAAACUCUGUUAUUAGGGAAGAACAAAUGUGUAAGUAACUAUGCACGUCUUGACGGUACCUAAUCAGAAAGCCACGGCUAACUACGUG